rnacentral:rRNA from 1 species
CCUACGGGCGGCAGCAGUGAGGAAUAUUGGUCAAUGGACGAGAGUCUGAACCAGCCAAGUAGCGUGAAGGAUGACUGCCCUAUGGGUUGUAAACUUCUUUUAUAUGGGAAUAAAAUGUUCCACGUGUGGGAUUUUGUAUGUACCUUAUGAAUAAGGAUCGGCUAACUCCGUGCCAGCAGCCGCGGUAAUACGGAGGAUCCGAGCGUUAUCCGGAUUUAUUGGGUUUAAAGGGAGCGUAGGUGGAUUGUUAAGUCAGUUGUGAAAGUUUGCGGCUCAACAGUAAAAUUGCAGUUGAUACUGGCAGUCUUGAGUACAGUAGAGGUAGGCGGAAUUCGUGGUGUAGCGGUGAAAUGCUUAGAUAUCACGAAGAACUCCGAUUGCGAAGGCAGUUCACUGGACUGCAACUGACACUGAGGCUCGAAAGUGUGGGUAUCAAACAGGAUUAGAUACCCGUGUAGUC